rnacentral:rRNA from 1 species
AACGAACGCUGGCGGCAUGCCUAACACAUGCAAGUCGAACGAGACCUUCGGGUGUAGUGGCGCACGGGUGCGUAACGCGGCGGAACCGGCCGUUAGGCUCGGAAUAACACCCCGAAGGGGGUGCUAAUACCGGAUAAUGUCUGCGGACAAAAGAUUUGGCGUCUGUGGAUGGGCCGGCGUUGUACGCACUAGUUGGGAGGGUAAAAGCCUACGAAGGCGACGAUACAUAGCUGGGCAGAGAGGAUGAUAAGCGACACUGGGACUGAGACACGGUGCAGACUCUUGCGGGAGGCAGGAGAGGCGGAUAUUGGACAACCGGCUAAAUGCUGAUGCAGCACUGCCGGGUGAGUGAUGAAGGCGUUAGGGUUGUAAAGCUCUUUUACCCGGGACGAUAAUGACAGUACCGGGAGAAUAAGCUCCGGCUAACUUCGUG